UGGUGCGCUCCGUGUGGCGCGGUAGACCGCAAGCGUUUAAUCACCAUUUGAUGAACUGGUGCUGGCUCGGAUAUUUAAAAGUACCGUUGUGGAAUUCGUGAAUGGGCUUGGA